AUUUCACUCACCCAGAUAGAGAAAAAAAAUGAGUUUACUGCAAUUCUAAAUAGAGUCUGUCAGUUUAAAAGGUGGACUCUGGCAAGUCUGUGGGAACAAGCCUCCAUUCACACCACAGAAACCACCACUGACCAGUUUCUAUGUGCCAGGCAUCGUGCCAGGCACCGUCGGGAGAGAGAUGAGUAAGAUGAGAUGACCAAUCCCCAUCUACCGUGUGUGCACACAACCACGCAUUCGCAAGGGUGUGGGCACACGAACACCGACAUACACCUACCUACAGCAGAAAGCAGAAUUGUAAAUUCAGGGACAGCUAUAACUCUAGCAGUUGGACAGGGAAGAGAGAGCUCUAUACUCGUCCAGGAUGACAUCUCAGAGGAGGUGGCAUUUGAGUUGGGUCUCCAGGGAGGAGCAGCAAGGACUCAACUGGAAGAAAUGAGGGGAAGGACACUGACCAGAGAGACCUCUGGGAGUGCUCGAUGAGCCAGGAGGAGGGCAGGAAACCUCUGGAACCUGAACCAUUUCUCUCCCCACCAAGGCCUCAGUUCCCACAUCAGUAAAACAAGGGAUUGGCCCUUGACCAUGAAGGUUCAUUCUGGCUCAGACUCCAUAGGAAACUCAUUUCCACCCCUCCCUGGCAUUCCAGGUGCCCCCAGGUAACCAGAUCUUCUCUAUAUGCCACACAUUCAGUAAGAACUAACCUUUCUCUGGGCUAUCCCAAAGCUCCAGAAAGAGUGUAAAUCCUAAAAAGAAAACUAAUUUCACUGAUUAACUUUCUAUUGAGUCUAUGAUCCAGGAAAGAUCUUGGGAAAAAUAUCCAUGAAAUAAUCAAGCUAAGGAGAUGAAAGACUGGAGUUGGAGAGGGAGGGAGAGAGCUGAGGGUAGCAGGUUCCCAGGGAGGAGCCAUAUUGGGAUCAUCCAGCUUGGAAGGGUGCUGGAGAGGAUGAUUGUAGGGUGACAACUGUGCAACAGGCUCAGAGACCCACAGUCCACCUGGAGAGGAGCAUGGAGCCCCCAGGACAAAAAUGGAACUGAUAAAUUUGACUGUGUUGAGAGGAGGCAUUGUUAACCCCAGGAAAGGAAACAGCAUAGUACGCUAUGUGGCUCAGCUAUGCACAAUAUGUUCUUUGUUACACUAAGGUAAGCACUGAAUAGGCACAGAAUCCCAUACUGAGCCCCAUUCUAGGUGGAGAAUGAGAAGAGGGGAAGUAUGUUGUAUGUCUGUACUGCAAGGGUGCUGGCCUUGGUAUCUUCCACAGUGGAAAGUAAAUAGAUGGUGCUUAAAAUGGAAAGAAAAUUUAAAUAGCAGUAUACACAUCACUUAGCAUAUGGAGAGAAACAUCAGAAGAAACAGCUAACUGUUGAAAGUGGUUGCCUCUCAAGAAUGUGACUUGGGGGAAAAGACAGGGGGCUGCUGUCUUUCUUAAGAGCCUUGGGAGCACAUUUGACAUUUUAAGCCAUAGUAUGUAUAUGUAUUCCUUUGAUAAAAAUUAAAACUAAAUUAAAAGGAGGGAAUAAAUGUGCAAUGCUCUAGCCAUACUUUCUAAUCAUUAAGCUGUCUCAAAAGGCAUGCACAACAUGCCUGACUCUUUGGAGAGGACACAACCUUCACUCCUUUCUCCUUCUCUUCCCCAUUAACCUGUAUUUUUUUUCUCUUCAUAGUCUUUAAGAUCACCUCAUUUAUUAAUUUGCUGGUGUGUGUGCUUAAUCUGCCUCCUCCAGCAGGAGGAGAACAGGGACUGUCUUGUUUCUUCUGCAUCCCUUGUGCUUAGUCCCCAGCACACAUUAGGUGCUCAAUAAAUGGAUCAACACUGAACAGUCCUGUGCCAGUCAAUGGGUUUUCUAAGGCACCAUCAAAAAGGCUUGAGCAUUCAAAAGUGCUCGUUCUACUGAAAGUGGCUCAACCACAAACAGCUGAUGAGGACCAGAGCCCAGCAAUAAGUGGUGCUUAGGCACAAUCACGCACACUCAAGCCCACAUCCAGGAAGCAGCACGCUUGCUUAAGGUCAGCAAUUAACGUCUGCAGGGUCAGCCAAACCGUCCUGAGACCACGUAUUGGUCUUUCUGCCAAUUAUACCAGUAAGUGAGAGGGAAAUGGCUGUCCAGUGGCUUCAUGGCAAUUGGGAACAGACCCACGCCACAGAUGGCCAAUGGAGGCAAGGUGUUCAUCCUGUGCCAGCAUGGGCGUGUCUCCGUGCAGGGGGUGGGCAUCAUCUCCCCUCAACACAGGAGCUCUUCUCUGAGUGAAGGGUGUGGCUGUCAGAGAAGCUGCAAAUGCCACCCCAGGAAAACAGCCACAUCCCUGCAAGUGCACAGGCCUGUGGGGCUCCCCAAGCUGGGAUCUGAGGUCUACCUGGGCAGCGGGUGCCUUGCCCCUUGGAGCUUUAUCUUGAUGACUCUCUGUGGUCAUCACUGGUUUUAGGUUUGUCUCCUGCCCUGGACGGACACUCGUGUUGUCUCUGCUCUUCUGCCUCUCCUCUGACUGUGAUCCACCGUUCUUUGGGGGCAGUCUGGUCUGAUUGAUGUCCACUUCUUCCCCCGAAAAGGGUGCUAACAGACCCAGGAGCCAAGAGCUCAGAGAAAGUGGAAGAGGACAGACAGGAGGCCCCUCUAUAGCUGCUCUGAGAUGACGCCCCUCACACCCUUCCUGGGAGCCCCCAGCCCACCUGAGACAAAGCCCAGCAGGCUACCGCUGAGCAGCACUGCCCUAGUGAGCUAUUAAUCAUGAAGAAAGGUGGAAAGAAGGAAGAAGAUGGCAAGAAGGGAGCAGUUACUGAUUUGUUGCAGCUGGAUUAGGAGAUCCAGGGAGCCACUAUGUGCUUCCUAGUGAACCAGCACCGAAACCCCACUAACAAAUGCAAGGUGCCUAGGAGUGAGCCUCAGGUGUCACAGAGACCAAGUCGAAUCAGAAAUUCUUCCUGAUGGUGGUUCACGCCUGUAAUCCCAGCAGUUUGGGAGGCCGAGGAAGGUGGAUCACCUGAGGUCAGGAGUUUGAGACCAGCCUGACCAACAUAGUGAAACCCCGUCUCUACUAAAAAUACAAAAAUUAUCUGGGCAUGGUGGCAGGCACCUGUAAUCCCAGCUACUCAGGAGGCUGAGGCAGAAGAAUCGCUUGAACCGGGAGGUGGAGGUUGCAGUGAGCUAAGAUUGUGCCAUUGCACUCCAGCCUGGGUGACAGAGCAAGACUCCAGCUAAAAAAAAAAUCAAUAAAUAAAAUAAAAUAAAAAGAAAGAAAUGCUUCCUGAGAGAUGGCUGAUAGGAGGAUGCCACUGGGCCUCUCAGUCAGGGCAGCACCAGGCCUUUAGAAACCUCAACACUGAAAAGAUACAGAAUAUAGCAUUGAAAAUAGGAAUGAACUCUAAAAUAAGAAAAAGGAGACCCAAAGGGAUUCUCAUUUUCCCCAUGAUGAACUUGUUCAAGGCUUUCUUGGUGAAAUAUCAAACAAAAAAUCCUUCCCUCCAAUUCCUCACCUUGGGGUAUCCCUGACUUGGCUGUGUCUUCCUGGGGUGAUGCCCCCACCUUCCCUACACUCUGGGAAGUCAGAAGUCACUGCUGGAGAGUCAGAAAUAUAGCCAGAUCAUCCAAGGCUGUUCUGUCUACACUGCACCCCUAAGCCUCAAAGGUCUACCUCCUCAUUUUCACCACAAAGGGAAGCAAUUUUGGUUUCCAUGGCUCUACUUCUUCAGGCUGUGACACCUCUGGGAGAGACCCCAGGGCCAUGCCUGCCACCAAUGGUCCAGGACCACAGACAGUCACACCGACACUCCUGUGGCUGGGGACAGAGCUACCAGUGUGUGGUCUCAGCCAGGGGCUGCCACACCCCCUCCAGUAAGCACUUGGAAAUAUCGGAGUGGGUGCUGUCUUUGGUUGUUGCAAUGUGUGAUCCCAGCAGCUACGGAUGUUAAUGACAAUGAACUGGAUACUCUCACACAAGGCAGAAUUGUCCCUUGAAAAAUACUAACAGGGCCCCUGUUGAGAAAUUUCAUCAACUUGAUUGAUUAUAAGCCUCAUAGGGAAUUUGGCACUAAAUUUCACAGUGCCUCUCUUCUUUACAUUCUCUGUUAGUUAAGUGGGAAUUUUCUUUUGCUAUUCCUUUUCAAACAUAAUUGAUACUGAAAGCAGUGAGCCCAUGGUUCACAGUAUCCUGCACAGGGUCCCCUCUAAUAUUCUGCAAGCACACUUAUCACCGCAUGUGUAUGAGAAAACUACCAGAGGCAAAAACACUAACGGCUAUGAAAUGAGGGAGGCAUUUUGUGAAACCUAGUGAAGGCAUACAUCUUGGAUUUUGCUCAGAAAGCCAGCUGUUGUGUUCAAAGAAUGCAUGCUUAUUUAUCCUUGCUUGAGUCAAUUAGAGAAUGUUGGAGCUGGAGGAAGUCUAGGAGGUGUUAUUUCAGAAAAGAGAAUACAAUAUGGAGUCCCAGGAUCAAGAAGCAACUUUCCCAAGGGCCGGGGUUGGGACCCUGAUCUUUGGGCUACAGCUGGGUCUAUCCCUGCCUGAACUUCCCUCCCAUGGGGUGUGGCCAGCACCUCUUUCUGGAGGUGCUAAGACAGCUUACAUGUGUACAGACUGAUGGUUCAUAUUUGAGAAGAUAGCAUCAUGAAGGUGCUCAUUCAGUCAUUUGUUCAUCCAGCAAACUGAGCACCCUCGGUGCCUGGCAGUGUGCUGGGAUCUGGGAGUACAAAGAUAAAUCAGACGUAAACUAUGCCUUUACCAGGGCUGGUGCUAGCCGCCCCAUGAAUUAUUAAUUACAAAGCUAAGACCUGAUCAUCUUGCUCAGGAGUCUCCGGGGGAAGAGGCACGCAUGAAUUGCUAAUACAGAAGGUGAAGGUUAUUUCAGGGAUGCGGGUGAUGCUUUGUGAGAGACAGGUGGUCAGACAGGGAGGCUGAGACAAUCAGAGAGUGCCAAGUUCCAGGACUGAGGCUACCUGGGCUCUCUGCCUCCUCUGUCACCCCCUCUACCUCCCAGCCAAGAUUCUGCAAACACAACAGAAAGGCAGGAGUUGACAUCUCAGGGGUCGCAACACCUUGUCUUCCCCGAGGCUCAGUGAGGCUUUGUCCGCUGUAUUCAUUUAACACUCCUGACGCCUGUAAAGACGAUGAAGCUGGCAACCAGAGAGAGCAACUGCAAGCUGCCCAGGCUCAGUUUUGCUUCAUCAGAGGAGCAGCUGUCUUCUCAUUAUGAGAUGCAUCGUUAAAAGCUUUGGACUUCUGCUUCCAGCCAAGAUGGAGUAACAGGGGCCAGAUCUGCCCUCCUGUCUGAAACAUCCAAAAACCAUACCAAAGAUUUGAAACAGUGGUUUUUAAAAGAGGCAACCAAAGACACUGAUUUCCCAAGAGACGAUGAAACAAAUGAGAAACAACCUCCCUCGAUGGUCAGAGGGGCCUUGCCCUGGGCCAGGGCCUGGGCGGUAAUGUGGAAGCCCAGGAGGCAGCUUGGGGACACGCCAGUCCUGGGACCCUGUGGGAUGCAGGUGGGGCCGGCCCCACCUUCCCAGCCCAAUCCAGCACUUCCUGACAGUGACGAAGCUCUCUCGACUUUGCACCAAGAAGCCCUGAUGUGAUAGUGCUCGUCUCCCACCCGGCAGAUGCAUAAACCAUUCCCCUCCCCUUUUAAUUGCA
rnacentral:lncRNA from 10 species